CGAUAUCGACGAGUUUGAUCUGGCUCAGAACGAACGCUGGCGGCAGGCCUAACACAUGCAAGUCGAGCGAACCCUUCGGGGUUAGCGGCGGACGGGUUAGUAACGCGUGGGAAUAUACCCUUUGGUACGGAAUAGCCUCGGGAAACUGAGAGUAAUACCGUAUGUGCCCUUCGGGGGAAAGAUUUAUCGCCAAAGGAUUAGCCCGCGUUGGAUUAGAUAGUUGGUGGGGUAAUGGCCUACCAAGUCUACGAUCCAUAGCUGGUUUGAGAGGAUGAUCAGCAACACUGGGACUGAGACACGGCCCAGACUCCUACGGGAGGCAGCAGUGGGGAAUCUUAGACAAUGGGCGCAAGCCUGAUCUAGCCAUGCCGCGUGGACGAUGAAGGCCUUAGGGUUGUAAAGUCCUUUCAGAUGGGAAGAUAAUGACGGUACCAUCAGAAGAAGCCCCGGCUAACUCCGUG
rnacentral:rRNA from 1 species